AGGGUCACCAUGCUCAAACUGUGCUGUUUUUGUCAUUUUGCAAGACAUGCCAGGGAAACACUAAUGCGUGAAGAUUGUGGGCAUUCAGAAUUCUAUUUCUGUCAUGUCAAAUUGCAUUAGUGAGGGGAUGCAGCCCAGAAUUGGUAUCAGACAAAGGAAAGAAAUAGAGUGUAGAAGAAGAGGUAUGUGCGGACAGAGGAAUGGAAAUGGGACAAUGGAACCAUCGUUUACUACUGAAAGAUGGCCUAGAGAUCAAUAUUCAUCCAAUUAAUCACUUUUGGUCUCUUACGAAACUAUCAGCAAAAUGUUAAAAAAAAAAGGAAAUAAACUUCCAAAAAUCAA